rnacentral:rRNA from 1 species
UACAGAGGUCUCAAGCGUUGUUCGGAUUCAUUGGGCGUAAAGGGAGCGUAGGUGGCGGGGUUAGUCAGGUGUGAAAUCUCGGGGCUCAACCCCGAAACUGCACUUGAUACUGCCUUGCUAGAGUACUGGAGAGGAGAUUGGAAUUUACGGUGUAGCAGUGAAAUGCGUAGAUAUCUGGAGGAAUACCGGUGGCGAAGGCGGCAUCCUGGACCGGCAUUGACGCUGAGGAGCGAAAGCCAGGGGAGCAAACGGG